CGAGCAGGCGGCUGGAUAAGUCGGACGUGAAAGCUCCCGGCUCAACCGGGAGAGGCCGUUCGAAACUAGUCAGCUGGAGGGCAGCAGAGGAGCGUGGAAUUCCGGGUGGAGCGGUGAAAUGCGCAGAGAUCCGGAGGAACACCAGAGGCGAAGGCGGCGCUCUGGGCUGCACCUGACGCUGAGCCGCGAAAGCAUGGGGAGCGAACG
rnacentral:rRNA from 1 species